GUUAGCAUGGCAGAGCUUGGUUAUGCAA
rnacentral:tRNA from 1 species